rnacentral:rRNA from 1 species
GACGAACGCUGGCGGCGUGCUUAACACAUGCAAGUCGAACGAUGAUGCCCAGCUUGCUGGGUGGAUUAGUGGCGAACGGGUGAGUAACACGUGAGUAACCUGCCCCUGACUCUGGGAUAAGCGUUGGAAACGACGUCUAAUACUGGAUAUGAUCACUGGCCGCAUGGUCUGGUGGUGGAAAGAUUUUUUGGUUGGGGAUGGACUCGCGGCCUAUCAGCUUGUUGGUGAGGUAAUGGCUCACCAAGGCGACGACGGGUAGCCGGCCUGAGAGGGUGACCGGCCACACUGGGACUGAGACACGGCCCAGACUCCUACGGGAGGCAGCAGUGGGGAAUAUUGCACAAUGGGCGAAAGCCUGAUGCAGCAACGCCGCGUGAGGGAUGACGGCCUUCGGGUUGUAAACCUCUUUUAGUAGGGAAGAAGCGAAAGUGACGGUACCUGCAGAAAAAGCACCGGCUAACUACGUGCCAGCAGCCGCGGUAAUACGUAGGGUGCAAGCGUUGUCCGGAAUUAUUGGGCGUAAAGAGCUCGUAGGCGGUUUGUCGCGUCUGCUGUGAAAUCCCGAGGCUCAACCUCGGGCUUGCAGUGGGUACGGGCAGACUAGAGUGCGGUAGGGGAGAUUGGAAUUCCUGGUGUAGCGGUGGAAUGCGCAGAUAUCAGGAGGAACACCGAUGGCGAAGGCAGAUCUCUGGGCCGUAACUGACGCUGAGGAGCGAAAGCAUGGGGAGCGAACAGGAUUAGAUACCCUGGUAGUCCAUGCCGUAAACGUUGGGCGCUAGAUGUAGGGACCUUUCCACGGUUUCUGUGUCGUAGCUAACGCAUUAAGCGCCCCGCCUGGGGAGUACGGCCGCAAGGCUAAAACUCAAAGGAAUUGACGGGGGCCCGCACAAGCGGCGGAGCAUGCGGAUUAAUUCGAUGCAACGCGAAGAACCUUACCAAGGCUUGACAUACACCGGAAACGGCCAGAGAUGGUCGCCCCCUUGUGGUCGGUGUACAGGUGGUGCAUGGUUGUCGUCAGCUCGUGUCGUGAGAUGUUGGGUUAAGUCCCGCAACGAGCGCAACCCUCGUUCUAUGUUGCCAGCGGGUUAUGCCGGGGACUCAUAGGAGACUGCCGGGGUCAACUCGGAGGAAGGUGGGGAUGACGUCAAAUCAUCAUGCCCCUUAUGUCUUGGGCUUCACGCAUGCUACAAUGGCCGGUACAAAGGGCUGCGAUACCGUAAGGUGGAGCGAAUCCCAAAAAGCCGGUCUCAGUUCGGAUUGAGGUCUGCAACUCGACCUCAUGAAGUGGGAGUCGCUAGUAAUCGCAGAUCAGCAACGCUGCGGUGAAUACGUUCCCGGGCCUUGUACACACCGCCCGUCAAGUCAUGAAAGUCGGUAACACCCGAAGCCGGUGGCCUAACCCUUGUGGAAGGAGCCGUCGAAGGUGGGAUCGGUGAUUAGG